GUAUUCGUGGUGUAGCGGUUAUCACGUGCGCUUCGCACGCGCAAUGUACCCGGUUCGAUCCCGAGCGAAAACA
rnacentral:tRNA from 1 species